UUAUGUACCGAGACACAUUCAGUGUCUGACUGGUCUACAAGGGAUACUGAUCUUAGUGAUUAAGCGUACUGUAAGUACGUCAGUCUCUUGGCAAGCGGGGGCAACCUCGCUUUUUUUAUGGA
rnacentral:sRNA from 12 species